rnacentral:lncRNA from 1 species
UCAUUGUAAAAUUAAAAAUUGAAAUGUUGAAAAGAUCACAUAAUUCAGUAGAAAUAAACUUGUUUAAACUAUACCAUUUACUUGUCGUAAGAAUAGUAUAACAAAACUUCUGGGUAAACAAUAUUUGUGGUGCAAUUUGACCCAUCUUCCGGAAGGAGGACAAUAAUACGAUAUGAAGAUGUGCAUCUAGAUAGUGCCACAUAAAG